CAGCCGCCGCGGUAAUACGAAGGGUGCAAGCGUUAGUCGGAAUUACUGGGCGUAAAGCGUGCGUAGGCGGUGAGUUAAGUCUGCUGUGAAAUCCCCGAGCUUAACUUGGGAACUGCAUUUGAAACUGGCAAGCUAGAGUCUUGUAGAGGGGGGUAGAAUUCCAGGUGUAGCGGUGAAAUGCGUAGAGAUCGGGAGGAACAUCAGUGGCGAAGGCGGCCAUCUGGGACAACACUGACGCUGAGGCACGAAAGCGUGGGGAGCAAACAGGAUUAGAUACCCCCGUAGUCCCUGUCUCUUAUAC
rnacentral:rRNA from 1 species